CAGUCGCCGCGGGAACACAGAGGGUGCGAGCGUUAAUCGGAUUUACUGGGCGUAAAGCGUGCGUAGGCGGCUUCUUAAGUCGGAUGUGAAAUCCCUGAGCUUAACUUAGGAAUUGCAUUCGAUACUGGGAAGCUAGAGUAUGGGAGAGGAUGGUAGAAUUCCAGGUGUAGCGGUGAAAUGCGUAGAGAUCUGGAGGAAUACCGAUGGCGAAGGCAGCCAUCUGGCCUAAUACUGACGCUGAGGUACGAAAGCAUGGGGAGCAAACAGGAUUAGAUACCCCCGUAGUCCCUGUCUCUUAUAA
rnacentral:rRNA from 1 species